GUGAAUCAUCGAAUUUUUGAACGCAAAUUGCACUUUCUGUUAUUCCGGUGAGUAUUCCUGUUUGAGGGUCAGUUAAAUAAAAAUCGGGGUUGUUGCUGCUUUUCGUGGGGACGCGUCGGAAUUGAGUUUUCUUACCUUCGGUUAAUUGACUUAAAAUUUUUCAUGAUUUUCGAACGUAUUUAAAUUUCUUACGUACGUUUGAGAUAUCGAAUACUUUAUUUUGGUCGGUCAUCCUC
rnacentral:misc_RNA from 1 species